rnacentral:rRNA from 1 species
CGCAUGCAUCAGGUAGGAUAAGAAUGUUAGUCGUGCGCCUCCUAGCCUGAUGGAGGCGCGGCGCACAGCUCAGUAGCACGUGGCUAACCUGCCCUUGGGACGGGAACACCCCCGGGAAACUGGGGCUAAUUUCCGAUAGGUGAAGACUCCUGGAAUGGAUUUUCACUCAAAGGGCGCCUAGGUCAUGCUUCUAGGCGUUGCCCAAGGAUGGGGCCGCGGACGAUCAGGUUGUUGGUGAGGUAACGGCUCACCAAGCCUAUAACCGGUGCGGGCCGUGGGAGCGGGAGCCCGGAGAUGGGAACUGAGACAAGGUCCCAGGCCCUACGGGGCGCAGCAGUCGCGCAAACUUCGCAAUAAGCGAAAGCUUGACGGGGCUAUCCCGAGUGCCAUCCGCUGAGGAUGGCUUUUACCCAGUAUAGAUAGCUGGGGGAAUAAGGAGAGGGCAAGUCUGGUGUCAGCCGCCGCGGUAAUACCAGCUCUCCGAGUGGUGUGGACGUUUAUUGGGCCUAAAGCAUCCGUAGCCGGCUGAGCAAGUCCCCUGUUAAAUCCAACGAUUCAAUCGCUGGUCUGCGGGGGAUACUGCUCGGCUAGGGGGCGGGAGAAGCUGAUGGUACUCUAAGGGUAGGGGUGAAAUCCUAUAAUCCCGGGAAGACCACCAGUGGCGAAGGCUGUCGGCUAGAACGCGCCCGACGGUGAGGGAUGAAAGCUGGGGGAGCGAACCGGAUUAGAUACCCGGGUAGUCCCAGCUGUAAACGAUGCAGGCUAGGUGUUAGGGCGGCUACGUGCCGCUCUGGUGCCGCAGGGAAGCUGUUAAGCCUGCCGCCUGGGAGUACGGUCGCAAGGCUGAAACUUAAAG